AACGAACGCUGGCGGCAUGCCUAACACAUGCAAGUCGAACGAGACCUUCGGGUCUAGUGGCGCACGGGUGCGUAACGCGUGGGAACCUGCCCUUAGGUUCGGAAUAACUCCCCGAAAGGGGUGCUAAUACCGGAUAAUGUCUUCGGACCAAAGAUUUAUCGCCUUUGGAUGGGCCCGCGUUGGAUUAGCUAGUUGGUAGGGUAAAAGCCUACCAAGGCGACGAUCCAUAGCUGGUCUGAGAGGAUGAUCAGCCACACUGGGACUGAGACACGGCCCAGACUCCUACGGGAGGCAGCAGUGGGGAAUAUUGGACUAUGGGCGAAAGCCUGAUCCAGCAAUGCCGCGUGAGUGAUGAAGGCCUUAGGGUUGUAAAGCUCGUUUACCCGGGAUGAUAAUGACAUUACCGGGAGAAUAAGCUCCGGCUAACUCCGUG
rnacentral:rRNA from 1 species